UACGUAGGUGACAAGCGUUGUCCGGAUUUACUGGGCGUAAAGAGCGCGCAGGCGGUCGAUCAAGUCGAGUGUGAAAGCCCCCGGCUCAACUGGGGAGGGUCAUUCGAUACUGAUCGACUCGAAGGCAGGAGAGGGUAGUGGAAUUCCCGGUGUAGUGGUGAAAUGCGUAGAGAUCGGGAGGAACACCUGUGGCGAAGGCGGCCCCCUGGGCCGGCCCUGACGCUGAGACGCGAAAGCGCGGGGAGCGAACGGG
rnacentral:rRNA from 1 species